ACUUCCCCUUGAGCUCCAAGACAUAAACUUUUAGGAAAGGAAGGCGCCACACGCAGAAGCCCAAAGUUACUCUCUUCACAAUUUAAUAAGUCCUUGGGUUCGGUGAAAGAUGUCCUGGAGAUACACAGAUUCGGUGAACCGUAUAGAAGAAAGAAAAUACGUUCCCUUUCUCGUUUGGGUAACCAAACAAUGGACCAACUAGCAGCGCCUCCAAAUCAUCCCGGUGCAUGGAGGGUCCUUUAAGCUAAAACACCUGCAAAGCUGGGCGGCUUCUCCCUCUGCCCUUCCCAUCCCCAAAACUGGACCAGGUCUGGUGUCUCCUGCACUGUUAACCCAAGGGCCACUCGGACUCCGCCAGGGACCAGUUGCUGAGGCCAAGGCCACCGCGCUGGGAACUGAACCAGUAGGUACAAUCACCGCCAUGUUGACCACCUCCUGCGACCCCUCGACCCGCUGCAGCAGGAUCGGCUUGCGGGUCAGUGGCUGGGGCUGGAUCUCCGCCGCCAUCGGAGGGGGCGCGCCCGGGGAGCAGCCGAACGCGCCGGGGGACUUGGCUGAAGAGAACGCUCAGGCUUGCGCUCAGGAUCGGGCUGCGAAGCGGAGCGGGCCUUUGGGAGCCAGCGACCAUAGCCCUGCCGCCUGUCCAGGGAAUGUGCCCGCUCUGGCUUCCAAAACCAACACCGCCGCCACACUAGCCGCAAGCCGGCGCCACCUAAGAGAGUAGGGGGCGGGGAGCAGGGGGCGGGGCGGGGCGGGGCCCUGUCGCAAGGCGGCCAACCCACUUCCGGAGGAUGGGCACUAGCAGCCAAUGCGCGUGCGUCAGUCCAGGAGCCACUUCCGCCCCGCCGCCCGUAAGUAACCGAGGCCCGCAGUGCUGUCAGGACGCAUGCGCCCCGCAGUCCUUUACUUUCCCUUCCACACCCAAAGCUUUGUCCCCUCCCUCAUAAAAAAAAAAAUCUGUGAAUGCGCGUGCCCAGAGCCCCACCCUCUCCAGACUCUGGGGGCGGGGAAAAGCCUACGUCAGCCGCACCGGAAAAGCGCCUGCAGGAAGGAUAGAGGCUAAACUAGUUGGGACGUGAGUGUGCAUGCGCGCAGAUGACUCACCGCUAAGUUUUAACAAUAACACACCGGAGAGGGCGCUGUGCUGUCGGCCGUAGAGAAACGGCUCUUGCCAGCACCGCGUGGACUCUUGGGGGUUGUAGUUUCCUCCAUCCUCGACGUCCUUGUUCUAGAAAGCAGUAACGCCCACUUCUCAGCCCAGGAGAGAUGUGGGCAAACGAAACUCUGCGCCUUCUGUGGGUUAUUGCCCAAGUCAGAGGCAGAAAUAGUGUAGUAUCUAAGAGGGAGAACUAAAGAGCAAGCCCUGCUGAGCAAGACUUCUCUCGGGGUCACACUGCCACCGGUUUUAGUGAGAUAUGAGGGUAGAGGAAGAAGAGACUCUCAUACAAGCUUCUUUGAGGGAGUUUAGAGAUCAUGGUAUCAAUCUUCUCUUUGUAUUAUGAAUAAAGGACUCACACUUGAACCUAA